UUUUAAAGCCAUUUUAGAACUUAAUAAUUUUGAAUCAUCUGAAAUUGUUGAGAAAUUUAUUGUAAAUAUUAGUUUUGAAAUAAUCAAUGACAGUCUUGUAAAUAUAAGAUGAGUUCUGGUCCAUAUGACAGCCUUUGGCUCAACUCUGGUUAUCAUCAAACAUUGCUUCCUGGUUCACCUUGGCAUAAGAUUGAGAACUUGAUCAAUACUGAACUUGCUAAUGAAGUACAACAACUUCCUCCUAAUUCAGAAGUACAGUUGAAUGCCAUACAUCUGCUUGGCCCANGUUUUGUUAAUGAAUUCCUAGUAAACCAGAAAAUCCAUCCAACAAAGUUCCUAACUAAGGAUAGUANAGAGUACAUCCAAGCCAGAGAAUGGCUUCAAGAGAAAAUGGAAAGGAUUGUUAAAAAUUUAAGACUUCAGAGAAUUGAUGGCAAUGAUGUUGAUGAUUCAGAAUUAGCACCAGAUAUGAUGGAAUACAAAAACUUUGUACAUCAAGUUGUUUAUAAAGGGAUUGAUAGAGAAUUGUCCUUGGCAGAAAACAAGCAAAGUAACUUGCAUUUUCAGCCAUUUGCUGCAGGCUGUCUCAUAUCAGGACUUCAUAGUGAAACCCUUGGUGAUGCAGUGUCCAGUCUCCUGAUGAAGCAUCCUUCACAACUAAAAAGAAUAUCACACCAACUCACUGGAAGACAGCUGCCAAACACACUACGACAACUUCUAUGGAAAAUCAAGAUAUUUCAAACACAAGAACACCACCUCUCAGAUCUUGAAACUUACAUUAGCAAUGUCAAGCAGGAGUUUAUAACAGCUGUAAUUUGGGGACAAAAAGAAUUAGGAUUGAAUGAACCAGUGUCAUCUUCUGUAGAUGGCGUAAUCAAGCAUGCUGUGAGGGAGAUAUACAAUGUUGUACCUUGUAUUCAAGAUGGCAACAUGAGACGUGUGUGUGUUGGCAUGGCUGUAGAAGCAUUAAAUAUUCUGUACGUCCACAGCAGGAUGUAUGAACCUCAUUAUGCAUUGAUUUUAUUGCCGCUGAUAUGGACUUAUGUUGGGUAUAACCCUAAUAAAGAGUUUACAAGCAUGGAAUUAUCACAGAUGUUGUUUUAUUUCCUUCAAAACUGCUUUCCUACACGCUUACAGACAUUUACUAUUGCUGAGAGUGUGUCAAACAGACUUGAAGAAAAUGACCCCGUGCUCUUUGAACACAUCAAGAAUGCAAUGCAGAGAAAUGUUGCUUUUGAUCCAAGGGAAUUCCUUGUAAAUUUUAUACACCAGGAGAAAGAAAAGGCAGCUACAAUGAGUCCACAAGACAAGUCAACUCCUAUGAGGGAAUCAAGUGGUACUGAUGACGAUUCUAGGUCAUUGCUUUCUCAUCCCAUUAUAUUCAUGAGAAAAUGGAUAGGAGAGGGCUUUGUUGGUGUUCUUGAUUUCCCUGGUAUUUUGUUUGUGUGGGACCAAUGUUUUCUUAGUGACUGGCAGCCCUUUAUCUUAGAAAACAUUUGCAUAGUUCUGGUGGAAUUGUUACGGAACAAACUGUUGCAAGCUAAUGAUUACAACUCUGUNAAGACUAUCCUGUUGAACCAUGUGUAUAGCUUGCAUACCUUUGAUAUCCAACAAGGAUUGGUUUAUUUAAACAAUGGUGGCUCAUUAUUGGAUGUUAGUAGUGCAAGGCAAGCGAGUGCUGCUCCCACUCAGAUUGACAACACAACAAGUUUAGCCAAUUCAGUCCAGGAAAAUAACACACCUAGUCCUGAAUAUGAACGUAAUGAUGAAGAUGAAGAUGAAGACGUGCAGCUUGGUGACUUGUGGGUAGAGAACAAGCAGCAAAGUCAACUUCAGAAACUCACAAAUACAGAAUCUUUUCAUGUUUAUAUUGACCAAGUGAGGUUUAUUCCUGAUAAUGCCACUGUAAUAAAGGUGACUGGUAGGAUACUUAACCAUUUAUGGAAGAAGCCUUCAGUGCUAGAUAUUUCUGAUGUUGAAGCAUAUUCCAUCCUAGAUUCCCCAGCUCGUUGUCCCCAGUUUCAUUACAGAUAUCCAGUUCAUCCAAAAGAAGGCCUUUCACAUGACAGUGUCUUGCUACUUAGGGUGUAUACUUUAGAUGUAGACUCUGGCGAGUUGGUUGUCAUAGGAAACUGUGCUUUGGAUCUUUAUAAAGAAGAGGAACCAGACAAGUAUAUUUUGAACACUGGUGGACAUCAGAUGAGAAUCAAGCAUGAGUUGCCAUCUACUGUGUCGAAACUGAGUGAGGAGUUGUUUAAGGAAUUNACAAAUAUCCCUGUCAUCUCGCUUCUUAUCAGGAUUAUGGCCUAUGAUGAGGAUUUUGUAGAGUCUCCUGGAUAUUCCAGUGGAUUUUAUAACAGUACCACCUGUGUUCCUGAUGAAACAGAAAGAAUAUUGUACAACCACUACAUACAGCUUCAGCCAUACCCACCAACAGUGAUUGAAGCCAUCAGAGAUAUCAGAGAAGAAGAACUUAACAUUGAAGAUGAAGAUUUGACAGAUCAAAAGAUGGAACAAUGGUACCGUCAACGAAUGAGCAAGCAACAGCUGGAAAGAAAACCAGCCAGAUCACUUAACCUUACACGACUUGUCCAAUACAAUCAAUCACAGGGCCUGUAUUUAACAGUAGAGCAAGCUUUUGGUUUGCNAUUCCCUUCCUUUGUCAAUGCCUUGGUGUAUGUAAGCCUAGGCCCUGANGCAAGGUCUCAAGGAAAAACAUCAGAGGGUCAUGGUGGAGAUGAAAGCACAUUAUUUGAUAAAAGAGACUUUGAUAGUUUACUAAAGUCACCAAGGUGGAUUGAUAAACCCAAGGCAUUUCAUCCUCAUUUGGAUGCUUGUAAUUCACUUGUAAUUCAGCUGUAUGGCUUGGAUGCUGUCUAUGAGCCAAGACCAGACAGACAAACACUCGGAACAGUGACAGUCAAAAGGGGAACAACAAUGAACCUAGUGCCUCAAGGCUGGACUGUGUUGAAGUUAUUUGACAAUCUUGUUUGCACAGGAAAUGUGUUAAUGCAGGAGUUCAUCAUCUCCCNUUGUUUGAAGGAAAACCUUCAUCAUCAUUUAUGGAAUUCCUGUUAUCUCAUCCUGGCGAUAUUGCUUUACGUGAAGCACUAAGACAAGACAUUCAUCAACUACAGGGAUCAUCAAGUAUUCAAGUGCGUAUUUGGGAUGGUCAUUUUCAUCAUGGUGAUUAUCUGACUUUACCAAUUAAGCAAGAUCUCCUCAGUCUUGGGAAUGAAUCCAAGAUCAGGAAAACAAUGCAGGGU
rnacentral:misc_RNA from 1 species